rnacentral:rRNA from 1 species
GGGUUAAGUCCCAUAACGAGCGCAACCCUUAUCGUUAGUUGCCAGCGGGUCAUGCCGGGAACUCUAACGAAACUGCCGGUGUAAACCGUGAGGAAGGUGGGGAUGACGUCAAAUCAGCAGGCCCUUAUGUCCAGGGCUACACACGUGUUACAAUGGCCGGUACAGAGGGCAGCUACCUGGAGACAGGAUGCGAAUCUCCAAAGCCGGUCUCAGUUCGGAUCGGAGUCUGCAACUCGACUCCGUGAAGCUGGAUUCGCUAGUAAUCGCGCAUCAGCCAUGGCCGCGGUCCGAAUACGUUCCCGGGCCUU